rnacentral:rRNA from 1 species
GGAUUAGAUACCCUGGUAGUCCUAGCCGUAAACGAUGGGUACUAAGUGGGGGGACUCCCAAGGUCUCCCUGCCGGAGCUAAUGUGUUAAGUACCCCGCCUGGGGAGUAUGGUCGCAAGGCUAAAACUCAAAGUAAUUGACGGGGGCUCACACAAGCGGUGGAGCAUGUUGUUUAAUUCGAUGCAACGCGAAGAACCUUACCUGGGCUUGACAUUCAUGUGGUACCAAACCGAAAGGGGCGGGACCGUCUUUUGGCGGAGCAUGAACAGGUAUUGCAUGGCUGUCGUCAGCUCGUGCCG